CAUGAUUAUAAGGGACAAUGAUUAUGACGACGCAUCAUUUUUCUGCAUCAGAGGAGGCAGUGGUGGUUUUUUAAUUCAUAGAGUCAGUAGUUGACUUGAUUCACCUCCAUUGCUUUCGUUGCAUGGAUUGGGCAAUAUUAACUUUGGAGUUACCAUCAAAAUCGGAUGCUCAAAAGCUUUAGAGUUGAGUGCUUGUUGGAAUAAUUGGAGGGAUUGCAGCAGAAAGAAAAGUCGAGUGAUUCUAAUAUAGAGUAAGUCAGCA